UCUUAGUUUGACCAUGGUUUAGCUAGGGCCACACGCCUUUUGCUUAUGCUCCUAGGGCGUCAAAUGCAAACACGACAUUAAGUAAAAAUUAGCUAUUAAGCAAAUUUGAAAUAUGAAGUGUUGGUGGUUUUACUUUCAAGCAGAAGGCUACAUAGU
rnacentral:ncRNA from 1 species